CUGGCAGGGCCCCUGUGGGGUGGCUUGGCUGGCCUGGAGUUGGGGACGAAGUCCCCGGGCUUGGUCCCCCGAGGGCUUGGUUGGGCGUCCCGGGGUAGGUGGCUGCCGCGGCGAUGUGGGCGGCUUGCGUGUGGCCGAUCGGGGUCGCUGCUGAGCCCUGGAGAGCGGAGGGUCCAGGCUAGGCUGGGGGAGCGAGAGGCGAGGGCGGGGCCGCGGAGGUGUGGGCGGCUUUCGUGGUCCCAGAGGCCCCUGGUUCCCGGCAGGGCGGGGAAGGCUGGGGCGGGGCCAGAGCCGGAGCCGCGAAGCCGCGAUGGAGAGGGCCUGGAGGGUGCGCCAGGAGCCGGCGUCAGGGCCUGCCUCCAUCUCCUCCAACCCCCACCCCAUUUAUUCCUGUAACAAAUCCCUACCGGGAGCUGGCACAGCAGCUGUGCGCUGGGGACACACGAGAUGCUCACCCUCCCUGCCCUCCAGGAGCUUGGACUCAGCUGAGAUGCCUGGUAUCCAACUGCACUUCUCCAUGUGUGCAUUGUCCCCUGAGCUGGCAAGAAGAUCCUACUAGUUGGUCUGCAUGCCAUGCCAGCUCGGCCUUGCACCCUGGGGGCCCAGCUGUUGUCCACACCAAGGGUGGCCUACAGAGGGAAGUGAGGACCUUGGGACUUCCUCCAGGACAGCCCUCGCUGUCCAAAUCUCCACCUGCUGCAGAGCUGCCUCCAGUCAAGCCCUUGUUUCCGGCUUUCUGUGCCCUAAAUAAACUUCCGCUAGGAUUGAGCCGUCAGCAUUCUGUGGUGGGCGUCGCUGCUGCAAGGUUGCCCUCGUGCACACAAGCUCCUCACAGGACUUCCAGGAUGAUAUGGAAGAGUAACUGAGAGCAGCCGCCCGGUGCUUCCCAACCUUAGAGGGAGGUCACGGGCAGUCUCCCUGCGAUGCCGGCCACAGGGUCUCACUGUGUCGCCCAGGCUGGAAGGCAGUGGUGUGAUCUGGACUCACUGCAGCCUCGACCUGUUGGGCUCAAGUGAUCCUCCCACAUCAGCCUCCAAGUAGCCAAGACCACAGGCAGGCGUCACCAUGCCCAGCCCCCAUGACUUUACUUUUCUUCUUGAACCUGGUGAAUUUCUGUGUUAACAUUUCUGAUUUGAACCCUUCUGAUAUUCCUGAGAUAAACUUUAUGUGACCUUGGUAUUCUGUUGGAUUUUGGUUAGCUGAUACUUCAAGAUUUUUAUAAAACUGGGUUGCAAUUUAUUUGUGUUCCCGUUUCUAGCUGUCUAUGAGCUUCAUCAAAUGGGCAGGACCACCUUCCCUUAACUUCUCCUUUUCUGGAACAACGGACAUAUCCUGUGGAUUAUCUGUUCCCCACAGGUUUGGGAUAUGGGUGCUGUGAAUGCCACUGUGCUGGGGGCUUUGGGAAGUGUGUGUUUGCGUGCGUGUGCGGUGGGAUACAGGUGUGGUUACUACUUUGAUUUCUUUCUUUCUUUUUUUUUUUUAGAUGGAGUCUCACUCUGUUGCCCAGGCUGAAGUGCAAUGGUGCAAUCAUGACUCACUGCAACCUCCACCUCCUGGGUUCAAGCGACUCUCCUGCCUCAGCCUCCAGAGUUGCUGGGAUUACAGGCACCCACAACCAUACCCUAAAUUUUGUAUUUUUAGUAAAGAUGGGGUUUCACCAUUUGGCCAGGCUUGUCUUGAACUCCCAAUUACCAAUUUCUUAUGUGUCCUUUUGAAGACUUUCUAAGUACAACCAACCUAGUAAAGUGAGUCACCCGCCACUGUUUUGUUUGUUUUUGUUUGUUUGUUUUUUAGAAUGGGGUUUCACCUUGUUGCCCAGGCUAGUCUUGAACUCUUGGGCUCCAGCAAUCUACCCUCCUCAGCUUCCCAAAGUGCUGGGAUUAUAGGCAUGAGCCACCAUGCCUGGCCCCACCACUCAUUCUUAACCUCUUCUUCUUUGCCUUUCUCUGUUGCAGAGUCCUGGAAGUUAAAUGCUCUAUUUCCCAGCCUCCCUUGCAGCUAGGAGCAGUCAUGUGACUCCAUUCUGGCCAAUGAGAUACAAGAAACACUUGCUGACAGGUGCAAUCAGAAAGCGUUUCCUUUUCCAGUAACAUGUAGGACCAGUCACCUUUUUGCAUUUCCCCUUUCUUCUUGAUUCGAACAUUGCAUUGCCGUCAUGUUUGGAGAUGAGUCAGCCAUCUUGCAAAUAGGAGGCAGCAAGACUGAGGGAAAUGCCAUCCUGCUUCAGAGGGCAGAAUGGAAAGAGAAGCCUAAGAUGGCAAUGGUACGGUUGGGCAGCUGAGUCAGGACUGGGGCCACUGCCUCUGGGUUUCAAGGGAGAAAAAUAAACCCCUGUUUGUUGGCCUCAU